GGGCGGCGCGGGCCCCCCCUAUAGUUUUAUCUUCGGUCCCGCAGCACGGGUGCUUGCACCUGUCUGGCGAGUGGCGAACGGGUGAGUAAUACAUCGGAACAUGUCCUGUAGUGGGGGAUAGCCCGGCGAAAGCCGGAUUAAUACCGCAUACGAUCUAUGGAUGAAAGCGGGGGACCUUCGGGCCUCGCGCUAUAGGGUUGGCCGAUGGCUGAUUAGCUAGUUGGUGGGGUAAAGGCCUACCAAGGCGACGAUCAGUAGCUGGUCUGAGAGGACGACCAGCCACACUGGGACUGAGACACGGCCCAGACUCCUACGGGAGGCAGCAGUGGGGAAUUUUGGACAAUGGGCGAAAGCCUGAUCCAGCAAUGCCGCGUGUGUGAAGAAGGCCUUCGGGUUGUAAAGCACUUUUGUCCGGAAAGAAAUCCUUGGCUCUGAUACAGUCGGGGGAUGACGGUACCGGAAGAAUAAGCACCGGCUAACUACGUGCCAGCAGCCGCGGUAAUACGUAGGGUGCAAGCGUUAAUCGGAAUUACUGGGCGUAAAGCGUGCGCAGGCGGUUUGCUAAACCGAUGUGAAAUCCCCGGGCUCAACCUGGGAACUGCAUUGGUGACUGGCCAGGCUUAAAUUUGGCAAGGGGGGUAAAAUUCCACGUGUAGCAUUGAAUGCCGAAAGAUGUGGAAGGAAUACCGAUGGGGAAGGGCCCCCCCUGG
rnacentral:rRNA from 1 species